rnacentral:hammerhead_ribozyme from 1 species
AUUCAGCUGACGAGUCCCAUACAAGACGAAACGCGCGUCCUGGAU